CAAAUAUAGUCAUGUUGGGUGUUAGGGCUUCAGUAUCUGAAUUUGGGGAGAACAUAAGUCCAUGACACAUGUGUACAAAACUUUCACUGUGAUAUUAAUGUCAUAAUAAUAAUAUAUAACAACAAACAACAGAGUAACCAACAAGCUUAACACCUGAGAAAAGAUAGGUGCCUCCAAUAAGAAACAAAUAUGAGCACUUGAUUACCUAGGGCAUACAUAGCACAGACCAACAUAUAAUCACCUUGAAAGUGGAUGAAAAGAAUGCAGCUGAGACAUUUAUCAAAUUACUGAAGACCAAGUGUGAACACUAGUGAAGAUCAAUUGUGGUUGGAGAGAUGAAGAACAAUAAAACUCUAACCCCAGGACAGGUACAAGAUUACUGAGAAAGCUUCACCCCACAAACUCAGGGGUGAGCCAUAACGACAGAAUUUUCCCGCUGUUAAAGCAAACUGAAUAUGACCUGAGAAGGACUUCUAUAUUUGAGUCCUUGUGGACUAACUGCAACCUAGCUUAACAGGAUAAGACCAUUUAAAGGGACCAAAAAUGGAUGAACAUACUGGGCACUAUGAACUAAAAGAUCUUUGGCUAAAGAAGAGAUGAAGACUCAUUCAACUCCUACAA